GACGAACGCUGGCGGCGUGCCUAAUACAUGCAAGUAGAACGCUGAAGAGAGGAGCUUGCUCUUCUUGGAUGAGUUGCGAACGGGUGAGUAACGCGUAGGUAACCUGCCUGGUAGCGGGGGAUAACUAUUGGAAACGAUAGCUAAUACCGCAUAAAAUGGAUUAUCGCAUGAUAAUCCAUUGAAAGGUGCAAAUGCAUCACUACCAGAUGGACCUGCGUUGUAUUAGCUAGUUGGUGGGGUAACGGCUCACCAAGGCGACGAUACAUAGCCGACCUGAGAGGGUGAUCGGCCACACUGGGACUGAGACACGGCCCAGACUCCUACGGGAGGCAGCAGUAGGGAAUCUUCGGCAAGGGACGGAAGUCUGACCGAGCAACGCCGCGUGAGUGAAGAAGGUUUUCGGAUCGUAAAGCUCUGUUGUAAGAGAAGAACGAGUGUGAGAGUGGAAAGUUCACACUGUGACGGUAUCUGACCAGAAAGGGACGGCUAACUACGUG
rnacentral:rRNA from 1 species